rnacentral:rRNA from 1 species
CACGUAGGGUGCGAGCGUUGUCCGGAAUUAUUGGGCGUAAAGAGCUCGUAGGCGGUGUGUCGCGUCGGCCGUGAAAACCUGCAGCUUAACUGUGGGCUUGCGGUCGAUACGGGCAUCACUGGAGUUCGGCAGGGGAGACUGGAAUUCCUGGUGUAGCGGUGAAAUGCGCAGAUAUCAGGAGGAACACCGAUGGCGAAGGCAGGUCUCUGGGCCACUACUGACGCUGAGAAGCGAAAGCGUGGGGAGCGAACAGG